GGCGAGUGAGCGGGAAGAGCUCAAAUUUGUAAUCUGGCCCUUUCAGGGUCCGAGUUGUAAUCUCGAGAAGUGUUUUCCGCGCCGGACCGCAUACAAGUCUGUUGGAAUACAGCGUCAUAGUGGUGAGAGCCCCGUAAUUGAUGUGGAUGCCCGGUGCUUUGUGAUACACUUUCGAAGAGUCGAGUUGUUUGGGAAUGCAGCUCAAAUUGGGUGGUAAAUUCCAUCUAAAGCUAAAUAUUGGCGAGAGACCGAUAGCGAACAAGUACCGUGAGGGAAAGAUGAAAAGCACUUUGGAAAGAGAGUUAACAGUACGUGAAAUUGUUGGAAGGGAAACGCUUGAAGUCAGACUUGCUAUUCGGAAUUCAGCCGCAAGGUGUACUUUUCGAUUUGCAGGCCAGCAUCAGUUUUUGGGGGUGGAAAAGGGUGGAGAGAAGGUAGCAACCUUGGUUGUGUUAUAGCUCUUUACUGGAUUCAUCUUUGGGGACUGAGGAUCGCAGUGCGCAAUUUACUUUGCAAACCUUUCGAGGUUUUCGUACUUAGGAUGCUGGUGGAAUGGCUUUAAACGACCCGUCUUGA
rnacentral:rRNA from 1 species